rnacentral:sRNA from 1 species
AACUCCUGCAGUGCCUGCAACUGAUCGGUCAUGGCGCGCAGGACGGAAUCCGCAUCCGGAUUGAUUACGCUCUGGGCUCG